GUCUAAUACCGGAUAUGACUGAUCAUCGCAUGGUGGUUGGUGGAAAGCUUUAUUGUGGUUUUGGAUGGACUCGCGGCCUAUCAGCUUGUUGGUGAGGUAAUGGCUUACCAAGGCGACGACGGGUAGCCGGCCUGAGAGGGUGACCGGCCACACUGGGACUGAGACACGGCCCAGACUCCUACGGGAGGCAGCAGUGGGGAAUAUUGCACAAUGGGCGCAAGCCUGAUGCAGCGACGCCGCGUGAGGGAUGACGGCCUUCGGGUUGUAAACCUCUUUCAGUAGGGAAGAAGCGAAAGUGACGGUACCUGCAGAAGAAGCGCCGGCUAACUACGUGCCAGCAGCCGCGGUAAUACGUAGGGCGCAAGCGUUAUCCGGAAUUAUUGGGCGUAAAGAGCUCGUAGGCGGUUUGUCGCGUCUGCCGUGAAAGUCCGGGGCUCAACUCCGGAUCUGCGGUGGGUACGGGCAGACUAGAGUGAUGUAGGGGAGACUGGAAUUCCUGGUGUAGCGGUGAAAUGCGCAGAUAUCAGGAGGAACACCGAUGGCGAAGGCAGGUCUCUGGGCAUUAACUGACGCUGAGGAGCGAAAGCAUGGGGAGCGAACAGGAUUAGAUACCCUGGUAGUCCAUGCCGUAAACGUUGGGCACUAGGUGUGGGGGACAUUCCACGUUUUCCGCGCCGUAGCUAACGCAUUAAGUGCCCCGCCUGGGGAGUACGGCCGCAAGCUAAAACUCAAAGGAAUUGACGGGGGCCCGCACAAGCGGCGGAGCAUGCGGAUUAAUUCGAUGCAACGCGAAGAACCUUACCAAGGCUUGACAUGAACCGGAAAGACCUGGAAACAGGUGCCCCGCUUGCGGUCGGUUUACAGGUGGUGCAUGGUUGUCGUCAGCUCGUGUCGUGAGAUGUUGGGUUAAGUCCCGCAACGAGCGCAACCCUCGUUCUAUGUUGCCAGCACGUGAUGGUGGGGACUCAUAGGAGACUGCCGGGGUCAACUCGGAGGAAGGUGGGGACGACGUCAAAUCAUCAUGCCCCUUAUGUCUUGGGCUUCACGCAUGCUACAAUGGCCGGUACAAAGGGUUGCGAUACUGUGAGGUGGAGCUAAUCCCAAAAAGCCGGUCUCAGUUCGGAUUGGGGUCUGCAACUCGACCCCAUGAAGUCGGAGUCGCUAGUAAUCGCAGAUCAGCA
rnacentral:rRNA from 1 species